GACGAACGCUGGCGGCGUGCUUAACACAUGCAAGUCGAACGGAAAGGCCCUGCUUUUGUGGGGUGCUCGAGUGGCGGACGGGUGAGUAACACGUGAGUAACCUGCCCUUGACUUUGGGAUAACUUCAGGAAACUGGGGCUAAUACCGGAUAGGAGCUCCUGCUGCAUGGUGGGGGUUGGAAAGCUUCGGCGGUUGGGGAUGGACUCGCGGCUUAUCAGCUUGUUGGUGGGGUAGUGGCUUACCAAGGCUUUGACGGGUAGCCGGCCUGGGAGGGUGACCGGCCACAUUGGGACUGAGAUACGGCCCAGACUCCUACGGGAGGCAGCAGUGGGGAAUAUUGCACAAUGGGCGGAAGCCUGAUGCAGCAACGCCGCGUGCGGGAUGACGGCCUUCGGGUUGGAAACCGCUUUCGCCUGUGACGAAGCGUGAGUGACGGUAAUGGGUAAAGAAGCACCGGCUAACUACGUG
rnacentral:rRNA from 1 species